UACAGAGACUGCAAGCGUUAUUCGGAUUCACUGGGCGUAAAGGGUGCGCAGGCGGCCGUGUGUGUGAGGCGUGAAAGCCCGGGGCUUAACCCCGGAAUUGCACCUCAAACUACACGGCUAGAGCAUUGGAGAGGGUAGCAGAAUUCACGGUGUAGCAGUGAAAUGCGUAGAUAUCGUGAGGAAUACCAGAGGCGAAGGCGGCUACCUGGACAAUUGCUGACGCUCAGGCACGAAAGCGUAGGGGAGCAAAAGGG
rnacentral:rRNA from 1 species